CAGAUCAGGGGGAGGGGGAGCAGAGCGGAGCGGAGCGGAGCAGAGCGGAGCGGAGCGGAGCGGCAGAACGCGCGGCCAGCUGACAGACCAGACGCGUCUGGGCUGUCAGCUGGCCGCGCGUUCCGCCACCGCUUUGCUUCCU
rnacentral:miRNA from 1 species